UUCAGUGGAAUGUGUGUUGUCAUGGGUGUUGCUGCAACAUUUGUGUCUUCAACUCUGGUCGAGCAAUUUGGCAUUUUAAAGGCUGGGGCAGUUGGGCUGGUAUUUCAAGCUUUACUUCUCAGCAUGGCUGUUGUUGUAUACUUGAGUGGAUCGAUUUCUCAUCAGAGUCCUCUUCUUACUUUCUUAUUUCUGAUUAUUUUAUAGCGGUUAGGGCACAUGUCAUAUGAUGUUGUAGGGGCACAAAUUCUCCAGACAGAAAUCCCAUCAUCCAAAGCAAAUCUCAUUGGAACGACAGAGAUUGUUGUUGCUAGUUUAGCGGAGUCCAUAAUGCUUGGUGUUGCAAUAAUUGCAAAUGAUCCUUCUCAUUUUGGAUGCUUGGCCUUGUUGUCUCUUCUAUCGGUUAUUGGUGCAA